UUUCACCUCCUAUGUAUAAACCCGAUCCCUAGUUUCCUUCAUCAUCAUUAGCCGCCUGCACAAUUUUCUCCUUAAGUUGCAUGUGUGACUUUAUUUGACGUGUACUUGUUAUGAUCUGCGAUUUUCUGCUCUCUUUCUUUCUCUGAUGUAGGGGAGAAUGUGUUGCUUGAUUAUGUUUAUUUAAAGAUGUUGGUCGGUGAUGCUUCAGAAUUUGUCCGUUCCAUCUGAGAUUACUUCUCUGAAGCAGCUGAAACAUCUUGUCUGAGGUCUCUCUUGUUAAUUUUGAUUAGUUCUUAUUUUUGUUGUUUCUUGUGGUGUUGAAGGCGGUGACGAUGAAAACUGCAUACCAUCAAACUAUGAGGGCUAAUGAGCUCGUUGAUGUUACAGAAAAUCAUUACUCUCUGAGCCUUUUUCAUUUUUAUUUUAUUUAAAUUUUUAACUAUUUUGGAAAAAUAGAGGAGAAUGGCAAUAAAUUAGAGUCUCUGAUGCGCUGUGUUCAGUAGCGUUUUCAGCGCUGUACGUUGCCGAUAGUCAAGGGGACUGAGAUUCUGGCAUUUGUUUCUGGUUUCCUAAGCAAUCUGCAUUCAGAUGUCCUCACAGUUCAUAAUUUUUGAACAAUUAGUAGUUUUUCUUAUUGGUUUAUAUUUGUUUUAUGUGAUUAGAAAUUAUCUUGCACAAUUAAAAUUUUACUGAUUGAAUGGACAAGGUGGCUACAUGUACCGAGUGAAGGGAUUCAGAAUCUGGUGCCCUUAUAACUUGAAAUGGCCUAAAGGUCUGUAGCCAAAUGUAUGGAUGGAGAAGCUAACUGGCCAAGUGGUUGUGUAUCUCCGUCGACCUUACUUGCUUACCGAGCUUCUUAUAGAAAAGAAAUUCAUAUGAGCGUUUUAGAAUGAUAUGAUGAUGGAAUAUGUUUCCCUAUUGGUUUGAUUGCCGGAAUGAUGGCAUUGACCUUUGUAUUAGCUCUAUCUGAUCAUUCACUUGUUUCUUUUUGUGAAUUCGCUUCAAAGCAAUUAUCAUUUUCUGCCAUUGAUUCCAACCA